AUCCUUCUUUCUGUGUGCGCAUGUGUGUAUUCCUCUGUGCCUCUCUCUGCCUUCUCGUCCUCCAUUGUCCCUCCCGCCCCGCAGCUCCACGGCCCCCCAACGGGUGGGUCUGUUCCUCCUUGGGGCCAACGGGUGGUUCAGGUCAGUGCUGCGCCUAUCCUUUCUCUCCUUCCUUUCCCUCGCGAAGCAUGCGUGGAGGCUAGAACGGUUCCUCUUCAACAAUUUCUGGAGGUAUGGAGGCACCCCCUCGCAAGCGGGGGCGACCGCCCAAGCAUCCUAAAGUCGCCUCCAACGACUCUCCCAAGUCCCGUGCCAACUCCGCUUUCAAUUCUGUCAAGUCUCCCUCCGCUUCUUCCCCUGCUGAUGUAGAGAUGGUGGACCGCGGUGUGGCCACUGUCGAUUCAAAGUCGGUUCAGCGGGGCCGAAAGAAGUCCGCGGGGGACAAGGUGGAAGGGGCCGCUUCUGUCAAACCUAGUGGAGGAGGAGGAAGUCCCAGUGACCGGGAGCUGUCCAAGUCGGAGGCGGACGACGUUGAGUUGCUCCCCGAGAAAUUGUCUAGCAGAAGAAAUAAGAAGCAAUCCCUGACCGAGAAUGAAAAUAUCGUGGGUCAUGAACAUGUCCUCAUUAUUCUACCAAAGAUAUCAAGCUGGCAAAAAUUUAAGGCAAACCCAGGUUUGUUUUCAAACGACAACACCAGGGGACAUGCCCCCUUGUUCGAGGACGGAACAGUCGGAAGCGAAGACGUGAAAGAUGCACCUUUCAUGGAUGCUGUUGUGAAAGUAUUUUGCGUGCAUACGGAGCCCAAUUUUUCACUUCCGUGGCAGAGAAAACGCCAAUUUAGUUCGAACAGCAGUGGUUUUAUCAUCAAGGACCGUCGGGUUUUAACUAAUGCGCAUUCGGUGGAGCACCAUACGCAAGUGAAGGUAAAGAAACGUGGCUCGGAUACCAAGUACCUGGCCACGGUUCUUGCGAUUGGUACCGAAUGCGACAUAGCUAUGCUGACAGUGAGCAAUGACGAGUUUUGGGAGGAUGUGACGCCUGUGGACUUUGGAUCUUUGCCUCGUCUGCAAGAUGCGGUGACUGUAGUAGGCUAUCCCAUAGGCGGUGACACUAUCUCGGUGACUAGUGGAGUGGUUUCACGCAUUGAAGUUACAUCAUAUGUUCAUGGUGCGACAGAACUCCUUGGUGUGCAGAUUGAUGCUGCCAUUAAUGCUGGCAACUCUGGAGGCCCUGCUUUCAACGACAGAGGUGAAUGUGUGGGAAUCGCCUUUCAGUCCCUGAAGCACGAGGAUGCUGAGAACAUCGGAUAUGUUAUACCCACCCCUGUUAUUACUCACUUUAUUACUGAUUACGUCCGCAGCGGUGACUAUACAGGAUUCCCCAUUUUAGGUAUUGAAUGGCAAAAGAUGGAAAAUCCUGAUCUCCGGAAGGCGCUGGGAAUGAAGGGCAUCCAGAAAGGCGUUCGUAUACGACGUGUUGAGCCCACUGCACCUGCAUAUAAGUAUUUGCAAGCUUCUGACAUCCUUUUGAGUUUCGAUGCCGAAGAUAUCGCAAACGAUGGAACUGGUACAAACCCUUCGCUAAACGUCAUUAAAUCGUUAAUGCAUUCCUAAUUCUUGUGGUGGUAGAGUUAUAUGUUUAUAUUUUUGUAUUUUUUGAAUUUUCUGGUAAGUUGACAACUGUUUUGUGCUUGAGGGGUGUGGCAGUAUGGGAAGGACUAUGAUUAUGAUGCUCCUGUGAAACUGCUGGACAAGCUGCUUCAUUCAAUGUCUCAGUGCGAUGACGAGCAACUCGUUGUCGUAUCUCAGGUUCUGGUGGCGGAUAUCAACAUUGGUUAUGAAGACAUUGUGAAUACCCAGGUCAUAGCUUUUAAUGGAACACCUGUUAGGAAUCUUAAGCAUCUGGCAAUCAUGGUCGAGAAGUGUACGGAUCCCUUUUUGCGGUUUGACCUUGAAUAUCAGCAGAUCGUGGUUCUGGAAACCAAUGCAGCCAAGGCUGCCACUCCAGAGAUCCUUGCCACUCAUUGUAUACCAUCAGCAAUGUCUGAUGACUUGAAAACGUAAUGAUCAGGAGUCAGGUUUGGUUGUCUGGUUCUCAACAACAAAUAUCUUCUGCAUCGGGGAGGCGAAAGGCGCGUGUAGUUUAUGUUUGGUGUUCAUUAUUUUGUAGCUCUGUUUUGAAGUUGCAGAGGAUGUAUCGACGCCUCACAAUAGAUCAGUAUAUGAAACUUAGAAGCGCCUGGGUCUGUAUUGUUGUUGAAUGCGCCAAUGCUGUUACAGGUCGUGAUUCUUCGAGAGGGAGCGAUUCAACUUUUUUGCAGAUAGAGGAGGAAAACAGAGAAGGAUGUGAUGUCUGUUCGCUGGGGUGGCCUCGGUGUUACUGGCCGAUCGGAAUACAGCAAUGCAGAACAUCUUUGACGUGUGGUUUCAUGCUGGGAGUAGCUCCGAAUAGUUAACGUUAGUCUUAGCGAAGCAGUUUAGGACGGUGACGUCUUGCCACAAAUCUUUAACCUAGACAUAAAACUCAUUUGUGUGUCUUCGGUUAUUUUUCUAGUUGAUGACAAAAUUGAGUUACGGUAAGCUUGGGAGGGGAAGUCUGAUCCCUCGCUUGCGGUCAUUUUGUCCCACAUCAAGUUAAAAACAAUAACUGAUGAGGUGGAGUCGAAACAAACGCGCAUGAGUAGUUUCUUUUAAGUUGAGAUGGUUUAAAGUUGCACUUGGGUGACAACUUCCUAACUUUGCAAUCCAAUAUACAAUUUACUAUGCGUUUUUUUUCUUAAA